UCCCCGUCCAAACGAAAUCUGAGUACAUGCACCCCCGGGCGUUCAUGCUUUUUAAACACAAUGCACUUCGCCACGAUAGCAGACGACGUGCGUGCCGAUAUUACACACAGCUUUGCCACACUUGACUCUCUGAGCUGCGAUUGCCGGGUCAACUUUUGCAUAUGCGUUUUAAUACAGCUGAGGAGCUUUCUACUGCCAAAGAGAGCAAGAGCCAGAGCCUGAGAUAGACAGAAGUGUCCAACACCUCGAUUUAUUGAUUGGAUCAAUAACUAUCACAACACAAAAUGAACACUUUCAAUCCCACCUGUCUGCUACUAUGCCUGGCUAAUCUGACAUUUGCAUGUAAGUAAUCCAUGUUUUCUCCACUUCUCGGCGUUGAAAACAAAUUAUUUGAAUAUAUUUCUCCCUUUUAUUUAAUAAAAAAAUUGUUGAUUAGUUUUCUUGAUGUUGCUGAAUGGCUGCUUUGAUCACAACAUCUUAUUAGAGUGUAGUGAGCAAAUAAAAACUUUUGAUAUUAUUCUUUCUGGCUUUUAUAGAAUUAUCAAGAUGUACAUUUUGAAAUCAACAUUUCUUGUAUACAUAAGCCAAUCUACUCAUUAAUCCCAUGUCUCUAUACAUAAAUUUGCAAACAAAUAGGUCUUAAACUACAAAAUGCAGGAGAAAAAAUAUUCCACAAGUAUUCUGUCAUCAUAUUUUUUUCUCCUUUAGGCAUUUCUACUGUUGGUCGCCUUUUUAUAUCAGGCAUAUUUUUUACAAAUUCAAAGCUGAAAAUUAUGGAGAGAAAAAGAAAAACUGCUAAAACCACAUUAAUUCUCUAAAUAUUAUUUAGAAAAACAUGGCAGUACACUGUAUACCAACAAAUAAAUAUACUACUAUUACCUAAAAAAGUGUUAUCACACUUGUAAGGCCACUUUGGUUGAAAAUAUUCAUACAUGUACAAUAAAAUCAUUCUAC